CCUACGGGCGGCAGCAGUGAGGAAUAUUGGUCAAUGGACGAGAGUCUGAACCAGCCAAGUAGCGUGAAGGAUGACUGCCCUAUGGGUUGUAAACUUCUUUUAUAUGGGAAUAAAAUGUUCCACGUGUGGGAUUUUGUAUGUACCAUAUGAAUAAGGAUCGGCUAACUCCGUGCCAGCAGCCGCGGUAAUACGGAGGAUCCGAGCGUUAUCCGGAUUUAUUGGGUUUAAAGGGAGCGUAGGUGGAUUGUUAAGUCAGUUGUGAAAGUUUGCGGCUCAACCGUAAAAUUGCAGUUGAAACUGGCAGUCUUGAGUACAGUAGAGGUGGGCGGGAUUCGGGGUGUAGCGGUGAAAUUCUUAGAUAUCACGAAGAACUCCGAUUGCGAAGGCAGUUCACUGGACUGCAACUGACACUGAGGCUCGAAAGUGUGGGUAUCAAACAGGAUUAGAUACCCCAGUAGUC
rnacentral:rRNA from 1 species